UACGGAGGGUGCAAGCGUUAUCCGGAUUCACUGGGUUUAAAGGGUGCGUAGGUGGAUUGGUAAGUCCGUGGUGAAAUCCCCAAGCUUAACUUGGGAACUGCCGUGGAUACUAUCAAUCUUGAAUAUCGUUGAGGUAAGCGGAAUAUGUCAUGUAGCGGUGAAAUGCUUAGAUAUGACAUAGAACACCGAUAGCGAAGGCAGCUUACUAAGCGAUCAUUGACACUGAGGCACGAAAGCGUGGGGAGCAAACAGG
rnacentral:misc_RNA from 1 species